AUCCAGCUGGCGAGUCCCGAAUAGGACGAGAUGCGCGUUUUGGAU
rfam:Trichobilharzia regenti genome assembly, scaffold: TRE_scaffold0026594